GCCCCAGCGAUGCAGGCCCCGGGCCGGCCGCGGCGCCGUUGACCUGGGCCGGGAACGCUGGGCACUUACGUCGCACCUUUAGCGGCCGGUCCGGAGCAGCGGCCCCUCGGGCUGCGAGGCGUCGGCAGUGGCCCCUCCCCGGUCCGCGGCUCUUCCCUGGCCGCCCGCGGCCGGGAUCCGCCGCUGCGAGCGCGGGCCGCGGCCACGUCCGUAGCGUCAUCCCCGCAUCCCUCAAGAUCGCUCACUGCCAACACAACCCCGAGAGAUGGCGCAGGUGAGCAGGCUCUCCUUCUUAGCACAUUCAGCAAGAACGCGCAAGGAAGCUAAGGACCUCUGUUCGUUGUCCUCUCCAAACAUGGGAGCCAAAGCACGGACUAUAACACCUGCGAGCCUGCUGAUCCACGCCCAGCUGCAACUUCAGUUCCCAGGACAGCAAAAUUCUAAAUUAAGCACUUCAUUUUCUGUUUUAAAGUUCAAAUCUGUUAUACAACAUGUAUGAUUUAUCCAUGCUCUGGGAGUCUUUAAUAACACUUCGUGUUUGUACAGAGGG
rnacentral:lncRNA from 1 species